rnacentral:rRNA from 1 species
UACAGAGGGUGCGAGCGUUAAUCGGAAUUACUGGGCGUAGAGGGCGCGUAGGCGGUCUAUCAAGUGAGAUGUGAAAUCCCCGGGCUUAACCUGGGAACUGCAUCUUAAACUGUUAGGCUGGAGUACUGUAGAGGAUAGUGGAAUUUCCGGUGUAGCGGUGAAAUGCGUAGAGAUCGGAAGGAACAUCAGUGGCGAAGGCGACUGUCUGGACAGAUACUGACGCUGAGGCGCGAAAGCGUGGGGAGCAAACAGG